UCCUUUGUGGCUCAGACAAUAAAGAAUCUGCCUGCAAUGCAGGAGACCUGGGUUCGAUCCCCACCUUGGGAA
rnacentral:tRNA from 1 species